AAUAGGCGGGGCGUGGUCGCUGGGCUGGUUCCUGUGGCGGUAGGCGGGCUGGGAGAGAGAGGCCGGUGGGAGUGGGUGCACCACGUUAUCACCAGAUACAGACAACUUUGACAUUUCCAGAGCUUUUUGGCUCCAGGGAGGGAAAGGAAGAAUAUACAAAAGACAGCAUCAGAAAGACACUCCAGUUUUCAGGGCAUUUAAUUCAUAUCCGUUUUUCUUGAUAUUUAAAGCUGUUCAUCCAUAAAAUUAUUUAUAUGUUCUUGUCUACUGAGAGCAGUUAAUAGUCACUCAAAAUCUCACUACCCAGAAAUAACUUCAAUAUUUGGAAACGCAGAUACAUUCAGAUACUUUAUCCUGGUAAAGAGAAGGCUGCCUGGGGAAAGAAAUGGACCCAUUUAACAAUGAAGUUAUUGCUGAUAGUUUUGUGCCACUUCAUCGCUCUCAGCUGAUGUGAUACCAAGUAACUCUCUGCACAGAUGGCUGGUGGAACCCAUCCAGCAUCUGCAAAGUCCAUCCCUGUUUUCUUUCCCAAACAUUUUAUUUGGAAAUCUUGUUUGGCAAACUUCCUGAGACUCUGCCUAGCUGUUCAAAGUACAUAUUUCCAAGCUAUCUCAUUUGGACCUUCCAUAAAAAAGAGCCAGCAAAGUGCCUUCUUACUUGGCACAAAAAUUGCAGCCACAGACUGAAGCGAGUUUUAGGUUCCUGGCCAAAACUUUACAAGAAUUUUAUCUUAGAUGCUUCCAUACUGGACUGUUUUACAUAGUCAUCAUUAACAUCUGACGCCUUCACAUCAUGACAGGAUCGAAGCUCCUAGUCUGUAUCAACUGGUAACUUUGCCAAAAGUUCCCUCUUGUUCUUAUUUUCCUUUGUGUCCUAACCAUCGUGGACAUGGUUCUUAUUCAGACUGCAGGGUGCUGAGCUUUUUAAGGAGAGCUACCUGCUGGACAAUGUCUCCCUGCACUUAAUGAUGAAUCAAGAGAUUACUUUUGAAUGAAUAAUCUUUUUUUCUUCUUCCGAUAGAUCAUGUAAAGGAUGUUAAGCAUUUUAAAAACCAAAACCCAAAACCCUUUGUAUAUUUGGGGACUUAGAAAGAGGUCAUGCUAGUAAUUCAAUUCCAGAUACAACUUCCACAAAUUUCUUAAAGACUCUGACAGACUGGAAAUUUCGGUCUCACAUUCCCAGAACAUUACCUCAAAUUUCUCCUCAAUGUAAAUCAGUUUCCCAGAACCUCAGUAAUAAAAGAAAAUGCACUAA